rnacentral:ncRNA from 1 species
GAGUUUGAUCCUGGCUCAGAACGAACGCUGGCGGCAUGCCUAACACAUGCAAGUCGAACGAGGGCUUCGGCCCUAGUGGCGCACGGGUGAGUAACACGUGGGAACCUGCCUUUCGGUUCGGGAUAACGUCUGGAAACGGACGCUAACACCGGAUACGUCCUUCGGGAGAAAGUUUACGCCGAGAGAGGGGCCCGCGUCCGAUUAGGUAGUUGGUGGGGUAAUGGCCCACCAAGCCGACGAUCGGUAGCUGGUCUGAGAGGAUGAUCAGCCACACUGGGACUGAGACACGGCCCAGACUCCUACGGGAGGCAGCAGUGGGGAAUAUUGGACAAUGGGGGCAACCCUGAUCCAGCAAUGCCGCGUGAGUGAUGAAGGCCUUAGGGUUGUAAAGCUCUUUCGCACGCGACGAUGAUGACGGUAGCGUGAGAAGAAGCCCCGGCUAACUUCGUGCCAGCAGCCGCGGUAAUACGAAGGGGGCGAGCGUUGUUCGGAAUUACUGGGCGUAAAGGGCGCGUAGGCGGCCUGUUUAGUCAGAAGUGAAAGCCCCGGGCUUAACCUGGGAACGGCUUUUGAUACUGGCAGGCUUGAGUUCCGGAGAGGAUGGUGGAAUUCCCAGUGUAGAGGUGAAAUUCGUAGAUAUUCGGAAGAACACCGGUGGCGAAGGCGGCCAUCUGGACGGACACCUACGACGAGGCGCGAAAGCGUGGGGAGCAAACAGGAUUAGAUACCCUGCUAGUGCCCGCGGUAAACGAUUAAUCCUAAACGAUGGGGUGCAUGCACUUCGGUGUGGACAUUAACCCAGUAAGCAUUCCGCC